CGUUCAAUUAUUGCAGUUCGCGAGAUACAAAUAUUCUUGCGAUUUACUGUAUUUGGAUAUUCUUCGUGCAAUCAUCAACGUGGACGGACGUCAAAGUGAAACCACGCGAGUUCGGCAUUUCCAUAUAUACAGAACAUACUGUCAACGCGAGUAUCUUGAACUAGUUCGAUUAUUUGCUUACGCUGCUGGAAUAAGAAGCACGGAAGAGUCUUUUUCGCGCGAUAUUUGGGUUGAAAGAGGGGAAGCCCUGUGAUUUUGGUACAAUGAAUACAAAGCUUAAUGAAAACGAGAUAAAUGAAAAGUUACGUAAUGUGAAUUCCAUCGAGGGAUUCUAUUCCGGAACUGGAAUUCUUAUGACAGGAGCGACAGGAUUCGUGGGCAAAGGCCUCCUCGAAAAAUUGAUACGCACGUGUUCACGCAUCGCUGCUAUUUUUAUAUUGAUCCGGCC